UGUUUCGAGAAGUACUUCACAUAAGCUAGGCAAUUUGUCGCCGCAACCUAUCGCUGAAUGAACUCAUGUGACUUGUCGCCUGACUGUACAUACGAAGCGAUUUGUUGCAACAACGUGUUGCAGCGAUUUUUCGCCUAGCUUGUACAAACCUUCAAAGCCCAGGAUGUCUUUGCCUCGUUGAUGUAAACAAAGAACGGCAUUACUGCAACUCGACCAGGCAUGAAAUUAAUGUAUAUUGACACUAUCAAAAUUGUUCGAAGUGAACAUCCUACGUUUUAUUUGUUAAUUGUCCUGAAAGUGACUUAAUAUUUCAUGCAACGAAAAGAUUUUAAUUCCUUUACACAAC